rnacentral:rRNA from 1 species
GAGAGGUGGUGCAUGGCCGUCGUCAGUUCGUACCGCAAGGCGUUCUCUUAAGUGAGAUAACGAACGAGACCCUCUCCAUUAGUUGCUAUCGGUUCCUCCGGGGAUCGAGCACACUAAUGGGACCGCUGGCGCUAAGUCAGAGGAAGGAGAGGUCAACGGUAGGUCAGUAUGCCCCGAAUCUCCUGGGCUACACGCGCGCUACAAAGGGCGGGACAAUGGGCUCCUACACCGAAAGGUGAAGGCAAUCUCGAAACCCGUCCGUAGUUCGGAUUGAGGGUUGUAACUCACCCUCAUGAAGCUGGAUUCCGUAGUAAUCGCGGAUCAACAAUCCGCGGUGAAUAUGCCCCUGCUCCUUGCACACACCGCCCGUCAAACCACCCGAGUUGGGUUUCAGUGAGGCUGCUUCUUUUUGUGGCGGUCGAACUGAGAUUCAGCAAGGAGGGUUAAGUCGUAACAAGGUAUCUGUAGGGGAACCUGCAGAUG